UAGGGAAUCUUCCACAAUGGACGCAAGUCUGAUGGAGCAACGCCGCGUGAGUGAAGAAGGCUUUCGGGUCGUAAAACUCUGUUAUUGAAGAAGAACGUGCGUGACAGUAACUGGUCAUGCAGUGACGGUAUUCAAUCAGAAAGUCACGGCUAACUACGUGCCAGCAGCCGCGGUAAUACGUAGGUGGCAAGCGUUGUCCGGAUUUAUUGGGCGUAAAGCGAGUGCAGGCGGUCUUUUAAGUCUGAUGUGAAAGCCUUCGGCUUAACCGAAGAAGGGCAUCGGAAACUGGAGACUUGAGUGCAGAAGAGGAGAGUGGAACUCCAUGUGUAGCGGUGAAAUGCGUAGAUAUAUGGAAGAACACCAGUGGCGAAGGCGGCUCUCUGGUCUGUAACUGACGCUGAGGCUCGAAAGCGUGGGUAGCAAACAGGAUUAGAUACCCUGGUAGUUCACGCCGUAAACGAUGAAUACUAAGUGUUGGAGGGUUUCCGCCCUUCAGUGCUGCAGCUAACGCAUUAAGUAUUCCGCCUGGGGAGUACGACCGCAAGGUUGAAACUCU
rnacentral:rRNA from 1 species